rnacentral:misc_RNA from 1 species
AAGUCGUAACAAGGUUUCCGUAGGUGAACCUGCGGAAGGAUCAUUACGAGAAUCGAGGCUGACGGUGCCUGCCGGGGCUUUGUGCGCCCGUGCUAGGUUGCGUCCGGCCCCGCUCCUUACCUUGCCUACUGCACCGUUCGUUGCUUCCUGGCGGUGGGACACCGCCGCCAGGGACCUUCUAAAAGUCUUGUAUGGAAGCAUUGAAACCCUGAUAUACACUAAAUCGUACAACUUUCAACAAUGGAUCUCUUGGUUCUG